rnacentral:ncRNA from 2 species
CGCGGUUGUGAUGUACCUGGUCAACGCACUAGUGUCGCAGGGCCUUGGUGUACGGGAAGCCGGUGUGGAACCGGCGCGGCCCUCGCCACUGUGAUCGGGAAGUCCGGCCCCACCCCCCGCGCAAGCGGGGAAGCCACUGGACCGCCGCGGGAGACCGCGGCGUCCGGGAAGGCGGGGUCGAGGCGGUAGUACCCGUCAGCCAGGAGACCGGCCAGGGCGCGUUGUCCAUC